rnacentral:rRNA from 1 species
CCUACGGGAGGCAGCAGUGAGGAAUAUUGGUCAAUGGUCGGGAGACUGAACCAGCCAAGCCGCGUGAGGGAUGAAGGUACACAGUAUCGUAAACCUCUUUUGUCAGGGAACAAAGGCGGGGACGUGUCCCCGGAUGAGUGUACCUGAAGAAAAAGCAUCGGCUAACUCCGUGCCAGCAGCCGCGGUAAUACGGAGGAUGCGAGCGUUAUCCGGAUUUAUUGGGUUUAAAGGGUGCGCAGGCGGUCUGUUAAGUCAGCGGUCAAAGCCCGGGGCUCAACCCCGGCCCGCCGUUGAAACUGGCAGUCUAGAGUUGGAGAGAAGUAUGCGGAAUGCGCGGUGUAGCGGUGAAAUGCAUAGAUAUCGCGCAGAACUCCGAUUGCGAAGGCAGCAUGCCGGCUCCACACUGACGCUGAGGCACGAAAGCGUGGGUAUCGAACAGGAUUAGAUACCCCAGUAGUC